rnacentral:rRNA from 1 species
CAGAGGAAAGUGGAAUUCCCAGUGUAGAGGUGAAAUUCGUAGAUAUUCGGAAGAACACCGGUGGCGAAGGCGGCUCCCUGGGCCAGUACUGACGCUGAUGCACGAAAGCGUGGGGAGCAAACAGGAUUAGAUACCCUGGUAGUCCACGCCCUAAACGAUGUCAACUAGGUGUU